UACACACACAUACAGACACUCACAUACAGACACUCACAUACAGACACACAUACCUUUCCCUGGGGUCCAGUGGUGGCUCAGGCUGAUGGGAGUCAGAGUUCCCACUCUGACUCCCUCUCCCUCCUUCCGCGCGGCUCUUGUGGUUGCUGGGAGGAAGUGACCGGGGCAGUCCCGAUGGGCCUCUUUAAUUCGGCCGCAUCACUCAGCUGGCGGGAUCCCCGUUUGCAGGGGACCGCAGGGUGUCCGGGCCCCCUGAAGUGACGGGCCGAGUCGCAGCUGUGACCCCUGCGACCGUUGUAGUUCCG